AUUGAACGCUGGCGGCGUGCUCAACACAUGCAAGUCGAACGGUGAACGAGGGAGCUUGCUCCCUCCGGAUCAGUGGCGAACGGGUGAGUAACACGUGAGCAAUCUGCCCCGAACUCUGGGAUAAGCGCUGGAAACGGCGUCUAAUACCGGAUACGACGCGCGAAGGCAUCUUCUGCGCGUGGAAAGAAUUUCGGUUAGGGAUGAGCUCGCGGCCUAUCAGCUAGUUGGUGAGGUAACGGCUCACCAAGGCGACGACGGGUAGCCGGCCUGAGAGGGUGACCGGCCACACUGGGGCUGAGAGACGGCCCAGACUCCUACGGGAGGCAGCAGUGGGGAAUAUUGCACAAUGGGCGCAAGCCUGAUGCAGCAACGCCGCGUGAGGGACGACGGCCUUCGGGUUGUAAACCUCUUUCAGCAGGGACGAAGCGCAAGUGACGGUACCUGCAGAAGAAGCACCGGCCAACUACGUGCCAGCAGCCGCAGUAAAAC
rnacentral:rRNA from 1 species